rnacentral:rRNA from 1 species
GACGAACGCUGGCGGCGUGCUUAACACAUGCAAGUCGCACGGUGAUGAUCAAGCUUGCUUGGUCUGAUCAGUGUCGAACGGGUGAGUAACACGUGAGUAACCUGCCCCAGCCCCUGGGAUAACCCCGGGAAACCGGAGCUAAUACCGGAUAUGACACCAACCUGCAUGGGUAUGGUGUGGAAAGUUUAUCGGUCUGGGUUGGACCGGCUGAUGCGCUAUUAGCUAGUUGGUGAGGUUACGGCUCACCAAGGCGACGACGGGUAGCCGGCCUGAGAGGGCGACCGGCCACACUGGGACUGAGACACGGCCCAGACUCCUACGGGAGGCAGCAGUGGGGAAUAUUGCACAAUGGGCGGAAGCCUGAUGCAGCGACGCCGCGUGAGGGAUGACGGCCUUCGGGUUGUAAACCUCUUUCAGCUCUGAAGAAGCGAAAGUGACGGUAGGAGCAGAAGAAGCACCGGCUAACUACGUGCCAGCAGCCGCCGUAAAAC